UCAGCGUCAGGAACGCAGAACUGGGA
rnacentral:piRNA from 1 species